GAUGAACGCUGGCGGCGUGCCUAAUACAUGCAAGUCGAGCGAAUGGAUUAAGAGCUUGCUCUUAUGAAGUUAGCGGCGGACGGGUGAGUAACACGUGGGUAACCUGCCCAUAAGACUGGGAUAACUCCGGGAAACCGGGGCUAAUACCGGAUAACAUUUUGAACCGCAUGGUUCGAAAUUGAAAGGCGGCUUCGGCUGUCACUUAUGGAUGGACCCGCGUCGCAUUAGCUAGUUGGUGAGGUAACGGCUCCCCCAGGCAACGAUGCGUAGCCGACCUGAGAGGGUGAUCGGCCACACUGGGACUGAGACACGGCCCAGACUCCUACGGGAGGCAGCAGGAGGGAAUCUUCCGCAAUGGACGAAAGUCUGACGGAGCAACGCCGCGUGAGUGAUGAAGGCUUUCGGGUCGUAAAACUCUGUUGUUAGGGAAGAACAAGUGCUAGUUGAAUAAGCUGGCACCUUGACGGUACCUAACCAGAAAGCCACGGCUAACUACGUGCCAGCCGCCGCAGUAA
rnacentral:rRNA from 1 species